UCUCUCCGAAUAUCUGUACUCACCUUUAUUCUUGUGAGGAUGUGCGAUGAUGUAACACCUACGUGAUGAGAUGGAACGAGAGGGAUGAUGCAGGAGCCGUGACCUAGCCUCCUGUUGACCUUCCGACAAUGGGUCACAAGGAGGAUCAUCUGCUUCUGGACCUCAGUCGGCUGCGGGGAACUGAACCUCAGAUAAAGGGGGUGCUGCGUUCACAUCUCAAACCAGUAUGGCACAUUGCUUGUAGUCAGUGCAUUGAUAUCGAUGCCCUAUUGUCAACCAAGUCCACAUUUUAUUCAGAUUGUCUUAGGUUCUAAUGUCCCUUCUCUGUUCCAGGCUUCUAUCCAGGGUACCACGUUAUAGUCAGUCACGUCUCCUGACGCUCCUCUCGGCCAUUCCUCAGACUGUCCUCGUUUUUUGAUGUCCUUAGCAGUUUUCAGGAUGCCCUACUAUUGGAACCGGUUUUUCUCGAUUCUUUACCUCAAUCCCCGGGAUUCGUGGUCUCGCUGCUUCGAAGAACGAAAAGAUGGAGACAAAUGAGCAGCAGGCAGAAAUUUAUUCGAGUGUAAGAUCAGAGAGUAAGAAUACCAUGAAAGCUCUCCUUGCAGAGAGGGGAUAUUUGAAAGAGAAUGCCCGUGACUAUAGGCAAGGAUCCUUGUUUUAUAAGGUUCUGGUCCCCACCCCCCUCCCUCUCCCCCUUGCUGCUUCUCAGGUUUUUUACCCUUACUGGCUUGAUAACUCUAGUCCUGGAUUGUCCAUUCCUGAUUGGCUUGAUUCCAUCACAAGGGGUGACCUAUGACCAUAUCAUUCCUUGUGGGUCAUACAUUUCAUGGUCUUCUACUUAUUUUGUUGUCGGGUCUUUGAUUGCCCAAUGCCUGAGGGGAUCCUGAGGGGGAGUAGGUGGUAUCUAUUACACUCAGGAGGAACCUUAGGCCGGAGGGGGUUUGCUGUGGUCAGACACUCCCAGCAUUGUUUCAAAAUAUGUGUUUUUCCCCACUGGGGACCGCAGGUGCUAAUCUUUCCCUCUCGGACUGUUUUAUCCUAUCUUUUCCUAUCAAACUAACUUACAUACCCAUCACAAAACAGAGUGUCGUCAUACCCAUUUUAUGGAUGGAGAAACUGAGGCUUGGAGACCUUUUGCAACUUACUCGAAGCUCAGGGGUCAGAUGUAAGCGAGAGUAGCCUGGCUCCCUGGCUUGUUCUCCCCCAUAACUCAUGCUCGCUCUCCACAUCUUCUAUGACUGCACGUACUUCUCCUGCAGGGACUGGGAGAGCUUAACGUGAGCCCUGAGGACAGGAGCCAGCAUCUGGGGGGACCCGUCCCUAAGUCCUAGCGCUGUUGUCUCUGGUGAUACAUUUCCCUCUGGGCUCUGGCUCCAGCUCCUGAUGGAGUUCUCCAUGACCAUUCAUUUCGUAACAUCUCCCCACCUGCCUGCCAAUUCAUUUCCUGGGCUGAUCGCACAGAAAUCAAUGGGGCCAGGAUGGAACUCGGCCUGCAGAAAGCCUGUCCGUGUCUAAGGGCAGCGCAGGGCAGAGGGGAGACCACUGCCACCAGAAUUAAAAGCAGAAGAUGCAGAUCAGCACAGAAUGCACGCCCAGCAGCAUGCUGGGGGGAGAGGAAAGUGAGAAGUUGGGGCGCCUGGGUGGCUCCAUUGGCUGAGCGAUCGACUCUUGAUUUCGGCUCAGGUCACCAUCCCAGAGUCGUGGCUGGAGCCCCGUGUCAGGGCUCCGCACUGAGUGUGGAGUCUGCUUGGAAUUCUCUCUCUCCCUCUCUCUCUGCCCCUCACCCACUAGCACGUGCUAAACAAGCAAGCAAACAAACAAACAAACUGAAGUGGCCCCUGCCCUCAAGGAUCACGGUGUCUGGAUACACAUUCAGAGACGCGGUACGAGGCUCCCCCAGAACAUUGCUCUUCGUGCACCGGGCGAAGCUCUCCGGUCCUUGCUGCUAACAGUCGUAAUGAGCGCGAGAAAACCCAGCCACUACGCUAAUAAAAUGUAAUGCUCAAAUCCAGCAAUAAAAUCGCCUAUUCAUAUGCA